ACAAUAGGAGAAUUAAUGCUAGAAUGAGUAACCAGGGUCCUCCCUCUACGACGCAAGCUUACAUCUGUACAUUAUUAACAAAUACCCAAUAUACGACAAAUCCAACAAGCAGAGUAUUAAUCACAUUGUUAACCCGACAGAGGAGCGUCCGUAAGAAAGAUUAAAACCUGUAAAAGGAACUAGGCAAACCCAAGGCCCGACUGUUUACCAAAAACAUAGCCUUCAGCAAACCAAAAGACAAGUAUUGAAGGUGAUGCCUGCCCGGUGACUAAGUUCAACGGCCGCGGUAUCCUAACCGUGCAAAGGUAGCGCAAUCAAUUGUCCCGUAAAUCGGGACAUGUAUGAAUGGCUAAACGAGGUCUUAACUGUCUCUUACAGGCGAUCGGUGAAAUUGAUCUCCCUGUGCAAAAGCAGGGAUAACCACAUAAGACGAGAAGACCCUGUGGAACUUCAAAAACAGCAACCACCCCAAUAUACAUUCACCCCCAAAGCACUGGUUUGCAUUUUUUCGGUUGGGGCGACCUUGGAGCAAAACAAAACCUCCAAAAACUAGACCAUCACUCUAGACUGAGAGCAACUCCUCAACGUGCUAAUAGCACCCAGACCCAAUACAACU
rnacentral:rRNA from 1 species